AUUGAACGCUGGCGGCAGGCCUAACACAUGCAAGUCGAGCGAGCGGCGGACGGGUGAGUAAUGUCUGGGAAACUGCCCGAUGGAGGGGGAUAACUACUGGAAACGGUAGCUAAUACCGCAUACUAUCGGAUGUGCCCAUAUGGGAUUAGCUAGUAGGUGGGGUAACGGCUCACCUAGGCGACGAUCUCUAGCUGGUCUGAGAGGAUGAUCAGCCACACUGGAACUGAGACACGGUCCAGACUCCUACGGGAGGCAGCAGUGGGGAAUAUUGCACAAUGGGCGCAAGCCUGAUGCAGCCAUGCCGCGUGUAUGAAGAAGGCCUUAGGGUUGUAAAGUACUUUCAGCGGGGAGGCGUUACCCGCAGAAGAAGCACCGGCUAACUCCGUGCCAGCCGCCGCGGUAAUAC
rnacentral:rRNA from 1 species